rnacentral:rRNA from 1 species
UACGUAGGGGGCAAGCGUUAUCCGGAUUUACUGGGUGUAAAGGGAGCGUAGACGGCGAUGCAAGUCUGGAGUGAAAGCCCGGGGCUCAACCCCGGGACUGCUUUGGAAACUGUGUUGCUAGAGUGCAGGAGAGGUAAGUGGAAUUCCUAGUGUAGCGGUGAAAUGCGUAGAUAUUAGGAGGAACACCAGUGGCGAAGGCGGCUUACUGGACUGUAACUGACGUUGAGGCUCGAAAGCGUGGGGAGCAAAC